rnacentral:tRNA from 1 species
GCCCGAUUUGCUCAGUUGGUAGAGCAUGGUGCUUGCAACGUCAGGGUUGUGGGUUCGAUUCCCACAGGGGACC